AUGAAAUCACAGAACAGAGCUGGCUCAUUACCAAAGAGAAGUUUGCAUUACAGUAUAUAGUGAAUUUAUAUAUUUGAAGAGAGGUUAUCUUGUGGCACUGACCGUGUCAAUGUUCUGUGUCAUAAUGUUCCUAUUCGGUGAAGGUGAUGGCGCAAGUAGAGCUCUAUGUUUCAGGUCUGCGGUCGGACUAUUUUACUGCCUGGUGGAGACAGAACGCUCCAAGCAAAACAUACUGAAGAAGACAUGGGGCAGCCACCAGCCACAACACUCUCCUCUGCUUGAACAAAGAUUGUCUGUCUCUGUCAUGUGGAGACUGGGUGAUAAUCUGAAGGCCUGGUAAGAAGACACCAAUGCUGAGGGCACUCAGACUGAGACGCCAACAUGAAAACCUGACGAUGCAGCAGCUCACCGCCACUCAGUUUUUUCUAUGUUGUUUACUUAAGCUAUGACUUCAACUCUCUCAUUCUUUCUCUCUCGUUCUUCCUAUCCCUCUCAGCACAUGACUUGGCUGGUAGAGCUGUGGUCUGGCUCAAUUGUGCAAUUUCAUCCACUCAUGUUUACUUUACUGGCAUCUUUCUUAGCAUAUUUCCCCCUGAACAUCUAUUUCUCAUAUUAUCCUGCAUUUCCUCAAUAAUGAUGCUCUCUCACUCUGAUCUUCCUUUGUAAUACCCUUCUUGACUUGAAAAGCAAGUACAUUUUAACGUCGUCAAAUGUUGUAUUUGGCCCAUCAUCCACAGUAUUGUAACACAUUUAAUUUUGGAACUUGAUCAGGGCGUUAAGAAAAAUAAAGUAGUUGUUCGCAUAAACA